rnacentral:rRNA from 1 species
GACGUAGGAUGCGAGCGUUGUCCGGAUUUAUUGGGCGUAAAGAGUUCGUAGGUGGUUCAUUAAGUCUGGUGUUAAAGACCGGGGCUCAACCUCGGGAUCGCACUGGAUACUGGUGGACUGGAGUGCAGUAGAGGCAAGCGGAAUUCCAGGUGUAGCGGUGAAAUGCGUAGAUAUCGGGAGGAACACCUGUGGCGAAAGCGGCUCACUGGACCACAACUGACGCUGAGGCGCGAAAGCUAGGGGAGCAAACAGG